CUCUAUUUCUGUUUGAUAGAACUCAAGAGCUGGAGCUGAGGAUAAUAACGAUGGUGAAGAAGAUGAUGAACGGGAUGAUGAAGAGCCCUUUGUUCAUAGAAGAGUUGUCGCAAAGCCCCCUUCAAGAAGCUCAUCAGCCUAUGAAGAUGAAAGCCUUAUUGGUAUGGAUGUGCUUCUAUAUGCAUGGACUGGUCCUGAAACUCCUGUUGCUAAGGCAACAAUUAUCUCAGUUGACCCAGACACUAUUGUGGGCGGAGAGCCCCUUGGACAAGGAACUUAUGAGGUUCUUGUCAAUGUUGCGAUCAGAAGGGAUGCUACUUUGCCUUUUGAAGAUGAAGGUUUACAAAUUAUCGCUGAUGCUGUCACAAGGUCCAUCGCAUGGCCAUCUAGCAAGAUGAAACCCUACAAACCUGGGGCAUGUUCCUCGUCCCGCCGCUAAGGAAAGACAUACAAAAGGAGCAGGAAGGAACCAGGAAGAUGUCAGUUUACAUCAGCUAGAGAUUUCUGUAAUGGAGCAAAAACAAUGCGUCUUUUAGGUCUCAUUUUUUCACCUGGGUAUUUUGUGUAAUGGAGCAAACAAUGAAUAUUGGAGAUGCAUCUAUCAUUUUGUAAACCUGUUGGGUGAUUCGGUCGUUGAAUCGUAAAUGUUUCCUUUACUUGUGAGAAGUAAUUAAUAUGUUAUCCUUC